UAUGACCACAUCACGUUGUAAUACCAGUUCCCAUACGAUCACUGAAGUUAAGCAACGUCGAGCCUGGUUAGUAUCUAGAUGAGUGACUGCUUAGGAAUAUCAUGUGGUGUAAG